rnacentral:misc_RNA from 1 species
AAGUCGUAACAAGGUUUCCGUAGGUGAACCUGCGGAAGGAUCAUUAACACGUAUCCAACGUUAAACAACCCUGUGAACUUUAAGUCCCCUCUUGCAGCCCAUGAGGAACAGCAAUCCCGGUAAAUCAUUGCCAAACAGUUUUGAUUUGCAAUCGAAGGGUGGAAGCAGUGGCAUGGCUUCCCCAAGCAGUUAGUGAAUGACAGUGUCACUGACUGUGUAAGGAUAACGCCUCACGGUUGCUAGAGGUCGAUCACCGACCGGCAGACAUGUCACAGGGUCACCACGCCCCUUAAUCACUCCACUUGAAAAUGCCCCGCCUAGUGGUAACGCGCUAGGUAAAAAAAACCGAACAACUGUUAACAAUGGAUAUCUUGGUUCUC